UACGUAGGCAGCAAGCGUUGUUCGAGUUACUGGGCGUAAAGGGUGCGUAGGCGGCUUCUUAAGUCUGGUGUGAAAUCUCCCGGCUCAACUGGGAGGGUGCGCCGGAUACUGAGGGGCUAGAGUGUGGGAGAGGAAAGUGGAAUUCCUGGUGUAGCGGUGAAAUGCGUAGAUAUCAGGAGGAACACCGGUGGUGUAAACGGCUUUCUGGACCAUAACUGACGCUGAGGCACGAAAGCGUGGGUAGCAAACAGG
rnacentral:rRNA from 1 species